CCUACGGGAGGCAGCAGUGGGGGAUAUUGCACAAUGGGGGGAACCCUGAUGCAGCGACGCCGCGUGGGUGAAGAAGCGCCUCGGCGCGUAAAGCCCUGUCAGCAGGGAAGAAAAUGACGGUACCUGAAGAAGAAGCCCCGGAUAACUACGUGCCAGAAGCCGCGGGAAUACGUAGGGGGCAAGCGUUAUCCGGAUUUACUGGGUGUAAAGGGGGCGCAGACGGCGGUGCAAGUCAGGAGUGAAAGCCCGGGGCCCAACCCCGGGACUGCACUUGGAACUGCGUGGCUGGAGUGCAGGAGGGGCAGGCGGAAUUCCUGGUGUAGCGGUGAAAUGCGUAGAUAUCAGGAGGAACACCGGUGGCGAAGGCGGCCUGCUGGACUGCAACUGACGUUGAGGCCCGAAAGCGUGGGUAGCAAACAGGAUUAGAUACCCGGGUAGUC
rnacentral:rRNA from 1 species